rnacentral:lncRNA from 1 species
GUGUACUGUUAGUCAGUGGGUCCAUAGAUAAAAGAUAAUACUAGCAGAUAAACAUAUCACACAAAAAUACACGCUCGACUUAAGCCAAGAGAAUUAGGGUUUUGGGGAUUUGGGGGAAACCAUCAGAUGGGAUCAAGCAGAGAAACAAAGGUGAGGAUUGUUUUUGAUAUAUGUUAAAUCGUGUGUAUGAAUAUGUAUGCUAUUGUGUUGUUGAGAGAUAUUGUUGUACUGGAGAUGGAUAUGGUUCGUGUGUUGGCCGGAGGGAGCGGUGGUGUUAAGGCCGGCGGCGGCUCGCCGCUUGUGAAGUGGGUGUGUUUAAUGCGUCGGAGAUGGCUGAGAUGACAGGGUCGGUACGAUCAGGUGAGAAGGCGACUGUUUCGUCGCCGAUCGGAGCCGCGCGGAGGAAGGCAAACAGCCACCUAGCGGCUGUUCCGAUGGCCGGAAUCCAUGGAAGGCUGGGGAAGACGGCCUGAAGUGGAGAGAGAGAAAGAGAGAGAGGGGUGGCUGGGCUGUGGUGAUGCCGGAGUCCGGCGAGAGGACCGCCGGAAAAGAGGCAGCAGCAUGGGCUGUUGGAAUUUUCGGAAAGACAAAAACGAAUGUUAAUUUUGUUUUUAUUAUUUUUAUUAUUGUUAUUAUUAAUAAAUGAUAACAAUAAUAUAAAUAAUAUUAAUAAAAUUAAUAUAUAAUUUUGAUUGUUAUAUUUAAUUGCAAAGUGUAUUAUUAUUAUUAUAAUACAACGUGGUUAUUAAACAUAGACUGUGGUCCUCAAUUGUUGUAUCGGUUUAUUAUUGUUGAUAACAUGUUUAGUUAUAAAUUAGGGUGGAUUAGACAUGAGAAUUUGAUUGUGGUGGAUAAGUAUUGUGUUGGUUGUUUGUUGAUUGUUGGGAUUGCCUUAUUACAAAGGAAGUGCUGUCCGAAUUAUUAUUAUUAUUUUUUUUUUUUUUUUUACAUUUGGAUUUGAAUUGAGAAUCGAAUUAAGAUUAUAAUUCGGAUUCUGAUUGAAAUUUGGACAGAGAUUCUUGGAUUACUAGUUAUGAUUAAUUAUAAUUAAUAAAGCAUGUCAAUCUCGUGAUACGUGACAAUGUGAUUACGUGUUUAAAUUAUGAAUAUUACAUGUAUAUAAUAAUUGAAAAAUAUUUAUAUACCACGAAGGGUAGAAUUAGAUUUCGGUUCGAUUUCUUGAUUUAGACGACAAUCUGGUUUGUUCGUCAACUAAAUUACAUUUUGUUAUCAUAUAUAGUCGGCUGAGACUCGUUUAUCAAGGACGUUCAGAAUAGUUGAUUUGUGUUUUCAGAUUGUGUUGAGCCAGAAGCGAGUUGCCAAGGAAAUAUAUUAUUUUCGAGUUGCGUGACUGUGCAGUCACAAGUUGUUCUAUUAGAGGCAAGUAUCUUUAUCGACGACUUGCACUUAUUUCAAGUAAAAUUUUAUCUCGUCUAUUUAAAAAGAAUCAUUCAUAUUCAUAUUUUGCUAUGUCCAUUAGUAGUGCAUGUCAUAUAUUUAAAAAUACAAUAUUAUUAAUUAUCCCUUGUAUAACUACUACAAGUAUUCUGUUUGACAUCUCUUUAUAACCAAUCAUAUUUUAUUUUCUUCACUCAAUAAACAUUUUCUGCUACUGCACACAAGCAUUCAUGAUCUUUUGAAUCUCUUUAUAAAAUUUUAGUUGUUUUCAGCAUUUUAAAAAGAUAAGCUGAUUAAGCUUUGAAAUUAUUAAUUAAAGAUCUUCAAUUAUUCUCUCUCCUAUAUUUGAACAUGUACUCUUUACGAGUAUAUUAGUUACCUGAAUUACAUUACACAACUUCGAGCAUGAAAGCUAUUUUACUUGCAUCAUUAUGUUGGACAUGUGUACACUCACAUCAUGUUUACAAUAUUUUAUCAACUGUUGUUUUCUAUAAAUGUUUCCUCUGAAAAGAACUUUUAUUUAAUGUUCUAGAAAUGCUGAACUGUUAAUCUAACGGUUAGUAUUAUGAUUUUGAUAUGAAACAAGGUUGUCGAUUAUUUUGAUACCUUGCUUAUUUUGUGAUUGGAAGUACCCUCGGGGACCGACCGCCGGUCCAGUUACAAUUUUGGCCAAUAUGUGCCUUGGAUCCCUUAAAAUUUGGUGACAUGCUUCGUGCAUGAUCCGGUGCUAUCUCGCGACUGAUCAUCGGCUAUAGCAUAGCGUGAAAUUAUUCCAAUCCCUAAAAAUGUUGUGGAAGGUUUAUAUAGUAAUGCUAUUCUUUAUUAGCAUUAAGUUUCAGAAAAGUUUUAUAAAUUAAAUUCGAAGUUCAUAUUGUCGCUGAAGCAUUUGUUGCCCAGUGAUAGUUAGAGCCAAGAAUGAGUUGAGAUCUUCUUAUCUGUUCAACCCGUCAUGGUCAUGCUGAUUUAGCAACUAAAUAUAUGGAAAUUUAGUCGACAAUGAUGGACACUGAAUAUUUAGGGAUUUCUUGAACUGUGGUUUAUGAA